UCGUUUCCACCAUCUGCACAUUUAUUGAACAUGCUCAAUGCUCCAUCAUUGUCUCAUAACAACUGCCUGUACAAGAAAAGCCACCAACUCCAGUAUGUGACUUUGCUGAUGGUUUAUUACCUUAAGGAAAAGACUUACACAGAGAAAUUGAGCAAUGAAAACCCUUCACAUUGAGCAAACACAUUCCACGCUACACAAAUCAUGAGAAAAAUGAGAACUGUUGUGAAACAUGACAGAUUGCCCAAGUGUUAUUUUUCCUCUAUUGGAAAAUUCUAAGACGUUUCCUCAUGUGUAGUUUUUCAGUCACAAAAAUGGCAGUAGGAAUAUUUAAAUAUUAAAUCACAGUUUGAAAAUAGAUACAUACAUACAUAUAUAUACACACACAGGGAUACAUAGUUGACUUAUGAUUCCCAGAUAUGCAGGGUUAUCAUUGUGACUGCUUUGGAUCAAGACAAGUUUGUAAAAAGCAGCGACAUAGUUCAACAUAAUAGUCAGGAGCUAGAUUACUUCCCUGUAAUUGCUAUGCACACACAGUACAAGGCUAGCGAGAUUAUAGACAAUCAUGUCAUUCGAAUCUACUAUCUUUGAUAAUUCUGAAUCAUUUUCAAAGUUAAAAUUGCAGCUAUUGUCAGUAAAGCGCCUCUUAUAAAGGUCAUGCCUUUUGAUUUGGGGGACAGAAUAACUAGGCGUAGCACAAGAAGAGAUGGCUCAGGUAUCAGACUAUCCUGGGUUUCCAGUCUUGGUCUGCUGUUCACUAGCUGGUAAGACCUUGAGUACACGACUAAACUUCUGUGAGACUCAGAUGAUAAUGCCAUAUUCUAUAGGUUUGCUGUGAGGAUUAAAUGAGAUAUGGCAGGAAAGCACCUUCCACAAGGCUUGGUGUAUGCUAAGCGCUCAAAAAAUGCUUAUGAUAAGGUUUAGCAAGAUUUAACUUGGUGAAUUCAGGUCUCCUUCCCUUUUGCACACCUAAGCACACCUGAGUAAUUCACUCUAAGUAUGAAUGUAAAUUUCCUCAGCAAAGGUUAACUAACCCUUAGGGUAGCUUUCCUUUGUCUCAGAACAUAUAGUUAACAAGGGACCACAGAGGUGAUGAUCUAUUUGGUCUGUUUGAAGCCCCUUGUAGAUGUAAUUCUCCAAUAGGUGUCAUUCAGGUCUUUUCCAGAGGCCUCCGCAAGAGCAGGGGCUGGUAGAAUAAGCUGCUGUUUGAGCUCUAACUUUUUGGGGGCACUUCUCUUUUCCACUUAUAAAAUAGUGAAAGAUGCAUACUCAAAAUUGCUGUAACAAUUAAAUAAAAUAAUGAACAACUUAGCAUAGUGCUUGGCACCAAGUAAACACUCAAUCAGUGGAGAUUUUUUUCCAUUAUAUUUAUUAUUCUUAAUUUUUAUUGAAUCAGGCCACACCAUUGCAGGGAAAUUCUGACUUAGAAAGCGCUUCAUUACAUUGGAUCCAAAUUUCCUUCUCCAUGACUUCCUAUGAUCUUUGAAAGCUAAGUUCAGUUUCCCAAAUUGAGAUGCAAAUUCAGUAAGAACCUAGCUCUUGGGUUUCCACUGAAUUUCAAAUGGAGUGAGCUGUUAUCCAGCCUUGUAAUUUGUAGAUGGCAGGUGUUUUCACUCUCAGAAAAUCUAACAUGAUUCACACUGACUUACAGAAGAGAUCAUUCAUGGAGUGAAUUCUCUUUAUACAAGAAUUCUUGCAUACGCAUACACAAAUAUAUGUAUACAUACAUAUGCAUUUCUUUGAAAUAUUAAAUGUCUCUUUUGCUAAGGCACUUAAUAUAAAAUUUUGACUGUUAAAAUUCUAUUUUCAUGUAGCUUUGGAAGAAGAGAGCUUCGAAUAAAAGUAGGAACACAUGCACAGCUUCCUGUAUUCAUCAAGUAUUUAAUGAGCACCACUGUAUACCUUGCACUGGACUAGGUUUUGGGGAGGUCACAGUAAGGAGGAUGUAUUCCCAGUCCUUUUCCCGUUUAGGAAUCUCUCUGCACACUGCACAGAAUUCCCUGUGAAUAACUACACAACAUUCAAUAUGCAGCAUUGGGUAAACAGAAUCAUCUUUUAAAUGUGUGAUGAGAGCUGGUUCCGAUGGGAAAGAGGGAAUAAGCUACAGGGGAUUCCUGGAUUUUUGUGUGUCCCAUGUAUUUUGGAUGCUUAAGCACCUAAAUUAUCAGAAAAUCAGAUAUUCUCGUCUUUUGAAAAGGAGCUAGAAAGACUAUAAGAGGGAAAAAUGACAUUAAAAAAUCAAGCCAUUUAUUGCAAUGUUUUCCUAUUCUGACACAUUUGUAAGAACAGAAAUAAUAAUGGGAACUUCUCAACAUUGUCGUGAAGAUUCAGUGAGCUAAUACAUGCAAAGCACUGAGAGCAAUGUCUGGCACAGAAAAGGCCCUAAAUAAAAGAAUUCUAACAGUAAAUAUUAUAUUUUCCUAAUACAAUAAAUAAUAGCCUGAUAUUCAUUAACAACAACCUUUUCCUUUUAGCUUCAACCUCUUCAGCUUUAAACCUUUAUUAAGUCUAUUUCUGUUUCUAAACAACCGGUAAACCUCCAUCUUCCUACCAGAAAACUGGCCAUUUGGUCAGCAGAACGAAAGGCUGUGAAAUGAGUCUCUGCAAUAGAUGUGUCCUGAACACGGGGGCCCCUGGAGUCCCACAGCCUCCAGCUCUAGAGGUCACCCCAGGGCACCACUCUCAGGGGCCAGACAGGCCAGUCCAGAGGCCUUACCAAUUCCUAUGAACCCCAAGCAGGACAAGGGAGAAGAUUCAAGGAAGAGCCUGGCCAACUGCCCAAAGCCCUGCCAGUCAGCAGCUGAUUCAGUGUGAGAGUCAAUUGGUCCUUCUGAAACGGGCUGACCUUUCCCUGUCUCUGGAGUAUUAACUGGGGGCUUUUCCCAUCAACAGGAAUGUUUAUCAAAUUUUAUUUCUGACUGGGACAAACCUAAUCUGUACCCUUCACAGUGUAGGGGUGAAGAGAAACUUAACCUCAACAAUGCCCAGGUUAAUGGAUACAACUUUCCAUUAAAAAUCAAAAUUAAG
rnacentral:lncRNA from 10 species